GACGAACGCUGGCGGCGUGCUUAACACAUGCAAGUCGAACGGAAAGGCCCUGCUUUUGUGGGGUGCUCGAGUGGCGAACGGGUGAGUAACACGUGAGUAACCUGCCCUUGACUUUGGGAUAACUUCAGGAAACUGGGGCUAAUACCGGAUAGGAGCUCCUGCUGCAUGGUGGGGGGUGGAAAGUUUCGGCGGUUGGGGAUGGACUCGCGGCUUAGCAGCUUGUUGGUGGGGUAGUGGCUUACCAAGGCUUUGACGGGUAGCCGGCCUGAGAGGGUGACCGGCCACAUUGGGACUGAGAUACGGCCCAGACUCCUACGGGAGGCAGCAGUGGGGAAUAUUGCACAAUGGGCGGAAGCCUGAUGCAGCAACGCCGCGUGCGGGAUGACGGCCUUCGGGUUGUAAACCGCUUUCGCCUGUGACGAAGCGUGAGUGACGGUAAUGGGUAAAGAAGCACCGGCUAACUACGUG
rnacentral:rRNA from 1 species